rnacentral:rRNA from 1 species
UGAGGAAUAUUGGUCAAUGGACGAGAGUCUGAACCAGCCAAGUAGCGUGCAGGAAGACGGCCCUAUGGGUUGUAAACUGCUUUUAUAAGGGAAUAAAGUUAGUCUCGUGAGACUUUUUGCAUGUACCUUAUGAAUAAGGACCGGCUAAUUCCGUGCCAGCAGCCGCGGUAAUACGGAAGGUCCGGGCGUUAUCCGGAUUUAUUGGGUUUAAAGGGAGCGUAGGCCGGAGAUUAAGCGUGUUGUGAAAUGUAGACGCUCAACGUCUGCACUGCAGCGCGAACUGGUUUCCUUGAGUACGCACAAAGUGGGCGGAAUUCGUGGUGUAGCGGUGAAAUGCUUAGAUAUCACGAAGAACUCCGAUUGCGAAGGCAGCUCACUGGAGCGCAACUGACGCUGAAGCUCGAAAGUGCGGGUAUCGAACAGGAUUAGAUACCCUGGUAGUCCGCACGGUAAACGAUGGAUGCCCGCUGUUGGUCUGAAUAGGUCAGCGGCCAAGCGAAAGCAUUAAGCAUCCCACCUGGGGAGUACGCCGGCAACGGUGAAACUCAAAGGAAUUGACGGGGGCCCGCACAAGCGGAGGAACAUGUGGUUUAAUUCGAUGAUACGCGAGGAACCUUACCCGGGCUUGAAUUGCAGAGGAAGGAUUUGGAGACAAUGACGCCCUUCGGGGUCUCUGUGAAGGUGCUGCAUGGUUGUCGUCAGCUCGUGCCGUGAGGUGUCGGCUUAAGUGCCAUAACGAGCGCAACCCCUCUCCUUAGUUGCCAUCAGGUUAAGCUGGGCACUCUGGGGACACUGCCACCGUAAGGUGUGAGGAAGGUGGGGAUGACGUCAAAUCAGCACGGCCCUUACGUCCGGGGCUACACACGUGUUACAAUGGCAGGUACAGAGAGACGGUCCCUUGCAAAACGGAUCAAAUCCUUAAAGCCUGUCUCAGUUCGGACUGGGGUCUGCAACCCGACCCCACGAAGCUGGAUUCGCUAGUAAUCGCGCAUCAGCCAUGGCGCGGUGAAUACGUUCCC